CGAACACGCAGCCGCCCGGAUUAGCAGCAUUAGCAGCCAGCGCCGAGCAACAAUUAAUCAUUUGCUGGAGCAAUGCCUGUGAUUUUCCUGUACUCCACUACAUCUCAACAGGUUCUGGAAGACAGCCACUACUGACUCUGAGACUGCUGUAGCCAAAUUUGAUAUGACAGCCCCUCCUGGAGCAGAGGAAGAUGAGGGGCUCAGAGAAAUAAGGCUGGUGUAUCAUGAGUUUGCUGCAGUUGAAGAAGAAGGUUAAGGGGCAGGUUGUAGGUUGACAAUUGAUUAGGAGAUGCCAGAGGCAAGGAAAUGCAGGAGAGCUCUUUUCCCCACAGUUGUACUUGUUGUAACGGCA